AACGAACGCUGGCGGCAUGCCUAACACAUGCAAGUCGAACGAGACCUUCGGGUCUAGUGGCGCACGGGUGCGUAACACGUGGGAAUUUGCCUCGGGGUAUGGAAUAACUCAGGGAAACUUGAGCUAAUACCAUAUAAUGUCUUCGGACCAAAGAUUUAUCGCCCUGAGAUAAGCCCGCGUAGGAUUAGCUAGUUGGUGAGGUAAAGGCUCACCAAGGCGACGAUCCUUAGCUGGUCUGAGAGGAUGAUCAGCCACACUGGGACUGAGACACGGCCCAGACUCCUACGGGAGGCAGCAGUGGGGGAAUUUUGGACAAUGGGCGCAAGCCUGAUCCAGCAAUGCCGCGUGCAGGAUGAAGGCCU
rnacentral:rRNA from 1 species